rnacentral:rRNA from 1 species
GAUGAACGCUGGCGGCGUGCCUAAUACAUGCAAGUCGAGCGAACAGAUAAGGAGCUUGCUCCUUUGACGUUAGCGGCGGACAGGUGAGUAACACGUGGGUAACCUACCUAUAAGACUGGGAUAACUUCGGGAAACCGGAGCUAAUACCGGAUAACAUUUGGAACCGCAUGGUUCUAAAGUGAAAGAUGGUUUUGUUAUCACUUAUAGAUGGACCCGCGCCGUAUUAGCUAGUUGGUAAGGUAACGGCUUACCAAGGCAACGAUACGUAGCCGACCUGAGAGGGUGAUCGGCCACACUGGAACUGAGACACGGUCCAGACUCCUGCGGGAGGCAGCAGUAGGGAAUCUUCCGCAAUGGGCGAAAGCCUGACGGAGCAACGCCGCGUGAGUGAUGAAGGGUUUCGGCUCGUAAAACUCUGUUAUUAGGGAAGAACAAACGUGUAAGUAACUGUGCACGUCUUGACGGUACCUAAUCAGAAAGCCACGGCUAACUACGUG